rnacentral:rRNA from 1 species
CCGGCGCACGGGUGAGUAACACGUAUCCAACCUGCCGUCUACUCUUGGACAGCCUUCUGAAAGGAAGAUUAAUACAAGAUGGCAUCAUUAGUCCGCAUGUUCACAUGAUUAAAGGUAUUCCGGUAGACGAUGGGGAUGCGUUCCAUUAGAUAGUAGGCGGGGUAACGGCCCACCUAGUCUUCGAUGGAUAGGGGUUCUGAGAGGAAGGUCCCCCACAUUGGAACUGAGACACGGUCCAA